GACGAACGCUGGCGGCGUGCUUAACACAUGCAAGUCGAACGGAAAGACCCUGCUUUUGUGGGGUGCUCGAGUGGCGAACGGGUGAGUAACACGUGAGUAACCUGCCCUUGACUUUGGGAUAACUUCAGGAAACUGGGGCUAAUACCGGAUAGGAGCUCCUGCUGCAUGGUGGGGGUUGGAAAGUUUCGGCGGUUGGGGAUGGACUCGCGGCUUAUCAGCUUGUUGGUGGGGUAGUGGCUUACCAAGGCUUUGACGGGUAGCCGGCCUGAGAGGGUGACCGGCCACAUUGGGACUGAGAUACGGCCCAGACUCCUACGGGAGGCAGCAGUGGGGAAUAUUGCACAAUGGGCGGAAGCCUGAUGCAGCAACGCCGCGUGCGGGAUGACGGCCUUCGGGUUGUAAACCGCUUUCGCCUGUGACGAAGUGUGAGUGACGGUAAUGGGUAAAGAAGCACCGGCUAACUACGUG
rnacentral:rRNA from 1 species